AGUGAACGCUGGCGGCAGGCCUAAUACAUGCAAGUCGAACGGCAGCACAGUGGAGCUUGCUCCAUGGGUGGCGAGUGGCGGACGGGUGAGGAAUACAUGGGAAUCUGCCCAGUCGUGGGGGAUAACGUAUGGAAACGUACGCUAAUACCGCAUGCGCCCUUCGGGGGAAAGUCGGGGACCGCAAGGCCUGACGCGAUUGGAUGAGCCCAUGUUCGAUUAGCUAGUUGGCGGGUAACGGCCCACCAAGGCGACGAUCGAUAGCUGGUCUGAGAGGAUGAUCAGCCACACUGGAACUGAGACACGGUCCAGACUCCUACGGGAGGCAGCAGUAGGGAAUAUUGGACAAUGGGGGCAACCCUGAUCCAGCCAUGCCGCGUGAGUGAAGAAGGCCCUCGGGUUGUAAAGCUCUUUUGUUGGGGAAGAAAGCAGUUGGUUAAUACCCGAUUGUUCUGACGGUACCCAAAGAAUAAGCACCGGCUAACUUCGUGCCAGCAGCCGCGGUAA
rnacentral:rRNA from 1 species